rnacentral:lncRNA from 1 species
CCUCCGGUGGCCUCUAAAGGUGACGGCCGGCGGCGUUUCUUGACUUGCUUGUGUUAAUCCGGGAAAAGGUAGCUGCACCACACCUGGGGAGCUCGAGACGGGGGUUUCUUGGAUCGCUGCGGUCCUGACCGCACGCACCCCACAAAGGAGCUGCACUAAGUUUCUCCACUCACCAGUGAAGGCCAGAGCGAGGGAAAAGGACCUGCUCCACUGGACGCCCGUUGCAUUACUGUGGGCUGGAUCUAGACAGAAGAGACCCAACUCACAAGGGCUUGAACCCAGGGCCUUGGGCAUGCAGCUGAGCUAUAUCUACCAACUGAGCGGUAUCCCCAGCACUUGGGACUGCCCAUAUCAAGGGAUGAAGUUGCACAAGACCUCCAGUACUCCCUGGAUAGGUUGACUCUCAUUUCGGAAGGCAUGUCAACCACACAGGCUUUGGGCUUUGUAAGCAAAAAGUUAUAAUGACCAAGAAAACUACUCAGAAAGCUAAUGUUUUAAAUUCUUGAUGUUAAAAAGAAAAGAAAAGAAAAAGAUCAUCUCCUUGAGAUAGGGAUUUGGGAAAACUGGUGCUGAGUCUGAAGGAAAUGCCCAGGGCCAUUUAAAUGCAAAAGGCACUAGGAACAAUUUCAAGGCCUAAGCAACACACCUCAACCCACACCCUUCUCACUUAAAUAAAUUCCACUGUUUACUCUUCCCUCCCUUUAUCUUCUGUGGAUUUUAUUCAAAUUUGUGAGACAAGAACCCAGAAGGAAAUUGGCGAUAUGGGGGAAUCUAGUCUCAUCUCAAAACUCUGGUUUCACCAACAAUAAUGUCAUUACGGAUGUGUGCAAGUUGUUUUCAGGGUGCUACAUGAUAUUAUGUUUAAAUAUGGAAAAACAUGAAUGCA